UGAGGAAUAUUGGUCAAUGGACGAAAGUCUGAACCAGCCAUGCCGCGUGCAGGAUUACAGCCCUAUGGGUUUUAAACUGCUUUUACACCGGAACAAUAAGGUCUACGUGUAGAUCGAUGAGUGUACGGUAUGAAUAAGCAUCGGCUAACUCCGUGCCAGCAGCCGCGGUAAUACGGAGGAUGCGAGCGUUAUCCGGAUUUAUUGGGUUUAAAGGGUGCGUAGGCUGAUUGGUCAGUCAGCGGUGAAAUUUUCCGGCUUAACCGGGAACCUGCCGUUGAUACUGCCGGUCUUGAAUACGAAUGAAGCGGGAGGAAUGUGUGGUGUAGCGGUGAAAUGCAUAGAUAUCACACAGAAGACCGAUUGCGAAGGCAUCUCGCUAAUUCGUUAUUGACGCUGAUGC
rnacentral:rRNA from 1 species